rnacentral:rRNA from 1 species
GAUGAACGCUGGCGGCGUGCCUAAUACAUGCAAGUCGAGCGAAUGGAUUAAGAGCUUGCUCUUAUGAAGUUAGCGGCGGACGGGUGAGUAACACGUGGGUAACCUGCCCAUAAGACUGGGAUAACUCCGGGAAACCGGGGCUGAUACCGGAUAACAUUUUGAACCGCAUGGUUCGAAAUUGAAAGGCGGCUUCGGCUGUCACUUAUGGAUGGACCCGCGUCGCAUUAGCUAGUUGGUGAGGUAACGGCUCACCAAGGCAACGAUGCGUAGCCGACCUGAGAGGGUGAGCGGCCACACUGGGACUGAGGCACGGCCCAGACUCCUACGGGAGGCAGCAGUAGGGAAUCUUCCGCAAUGGACGAAAGUCUGACGGAGCAACGCCGCGUGAGUGAUGAAGGCUUUCGGGUCGUAAAACUCUGUUGUUAGGGAAGAACAAGUGCUAGUUGAAUAAGCUGGCACCUUGACGGUACCUAACCAGAAAGCCACGGCUAACUACGUGCCAGCCGCCGCUGUAA